AUUUUCAAAUCACGUGAUUUGGGACUUUGGGGGAAAAAAUCAACAACAUAGGAAAUCUUGGAUUCUUCACCAUAAGCAGACCUUGGUGACUUCCAGUACCAAGAUGGCAGAAUGAGGAAGGAACCCUCCAAAGCCCUCCCAACAACUUGAACUGCCUCAGAGUUGAUCAAGGAGCAGGGAAGCAGCUCACCAGCCUGGAAUUGAUACCUCUAAGAUUGAGGUACAACAGAAAAAAAAAGUAGAGAAGACAAGACCUACAAGGUGGUAAGGAAGUAAUGAGAAGGGGUAACUCAAAAUAGAAGUUUUAAUAUCCACAAGGAAUAUGGGACUAACAAAGAAAUAUGGCUCUGGGGGAGGAAUCCUUCUGCCUUCAAGAGAAUACACACAGGGUCUCAAUCUCUUUUCAAGGAGAAGUACCUGAAGGAGAGAGAAAUUUUGGGAAGAAGUUGACAUGUAGAGGAGCUCGGUGCCUCUAGGUCCUGGGCAGCUCACUAAAGCUGCAAGUUACACAAGAGCAUCAGUUAUAGUUGAGUUGCCCAAUCUGCUUUGGUGGAGGGAGUUUCUACACAGGUCUGGAACAGCAACAACAAAAAUACAAUUUUGCAGGGGAAGGAGUGGUUUUACACAGAGAAAAUAAAUGAGAGAAAAAAGAAAGAUCUGUUGUUUUUAA